rnacentral:rRNA from 1 species
CAGCAGCCGCGGUAAUACGUAGGGUGCAAGCGUUAAUCGGAAUUACUGGGCGUAAAGCGUGCGCAGGCGGUUAUAUAAGUCAGAUGUGAAAUCCCCGGGCUUAACCUGGGAACUGCAUUUGUGACUGGCGAGCUAGAGUAUGGCAGAGGGGGGUAGAAUUCCACGUGUAGCAGUGAAAUGCGUAGAGAUGUGGAGGAAUACCGAUGGCGAAGGCAGCCCCCUGGGCCAAUACUGACGCUCAUGCACGAAAGCGUGGGGAGCAAACAGGAUUAGAUACCCGGGUAGUCCCUGUCUCUUAUAC